UCGGUUCGGAAGGUUGGCCCGCCCAGCAGCGGGUGGGGCCGGUGGAGAGACCCAGGGGAUCCCCUGGCCCAGGCAGGGCACCCGCGGACCUCACAGCUGAACGGGGAAAUCCGGGGACUGUCUGGGGUGGGGACCAUCCCAGGAGGUCACGAGCCCCGCCCCUUCCCAAACAGCAUCCUGGACCGGUCCAGAAGCAUCUGGUAAAGGGCCACACGCAGACCUGUGAAUGCAUUUACUUGAUCUACAUACAAUGGAGGCAGUUGGAAGUUGUGUUGUUGAACCUGUGUCCGCACAGCCCUGGUGGGACAGCUCCCGGCACCUGGUAGAGGAAGCCACCUCUGGGAGCCCCGGGUCCGGGCCGAUGAAGCUGCCAGGCGGUCAGGACCCCAAGGCUCUGGCUGCUUUCUGGUGCCUGGACGCCUUCCUCUGCCAAGCUCAACUCCAUUUGCCGUUGUUCCCCUGGGAGAAGAGUGAGCCUAGCAUUCACAGAGGAGCCUCAGCCGGCCGCUGGGUGGGUGUUGAGAAAAGAAACUUCUGGAGAGUACAUCUCUGGGAUCUUUAAAG